AGCAAGAAUAUAUAACUUAUUUAAUUAGCCUUCUUAUGUCUCUAUCUUUCCUCAAACUUCAAUCUCUCUUUCUCUCCCUAUAAGGGAGGGAGAGUUUCUCAUGGGCAUAUAUGCAGAGCCAGUUUGGCAUUCUGUCCACCUCCAUGUGUGUUAGUGUUUAUGGCUGUGAAGAUUGCCAACAAUCGGAGGUGGUCAGCCUGCUAAAUUAGCUCUAUGUUCCGAUCAUCAUAUUAAUUCUUCAUUGUCGAGUUUUCGCGUCACAUGAUUCAAGAACCAAACGAUCAAGAUAAAUAGAUAGAUUUCUUCUCCUUUUGGUCAGUCAUGAAGCAUCCUAUUUUUGGGUGGAAGCCAAUAUUUAGAAAGAUAAACAAUAUCUAUUCCAAUAUAUAAUAAAUUAAUUUGAUAUGGUUUAUUGUAAUUAAAGUUACUAGUUUAUUAAUAGAAUCGAUCAAUGGUUCAUGUUA